rnacentral:rRNA from 1 species
UACGGAGGGUGCAAGCGUUAUCCGGAUUCACUGGGUUUAAAGGGUGCGUAGGUGGCUUUGUAAGUCAGUGGUGAAAUCUUAGAGCUUAACUCUAAAACUGCCAUUGAUACUGCUUAGCUUGAAUCAAGUAGAGGUGGAUGGAAUAUUACAUGUAGCGGUGAAAAUGCUUAGAUAUGUAAUAGAACACCAUUGCGAAGGCAGUUCACUAUGCUUGUAUUGACACUGAGGCACGAAAGCGUGGGGGAUCAAAACAGG